ACGGCUACAUCUCAUUGAAACACCGGUUCCCGCAUGAUCAUCGAAGUUAAGCAUCGUUGAGCCUGGUCAUUACCUAGAUGGGUCACCGCUUGGAAAUACCACUUGCUGUAA